rnacentral:rRNA from 1 species
UACAGAGGGAGCGAGCGUUAUCCGGAAUGAUUGGGCGUAAAGCGUCUGUAGGUGGUUUAGAAAGUCUACUGUCAAAUACCAAGGCUCAACCUUGGGCAGGCAGUAGAGUACUUUUAGACUAGAGUGUGGUAGAGGUAGAGGGAAUCCCUAGCGUAACAGUGAAAUGUGUAGAUUUUAGGGAGAACACCAGCGGCGAAGGCGCUCUACUGGGCCAAGACUGACGCUGAGGUGCGAAAGCGUGGGGAGCAAACAGG